rnacentral:rRNA from 1 species
GAUGAACGCUGGCGGCGUGCUUAACACAUGCAAGUCGAACGGUGAACACGGAGCUUGCUCUGUGGGAUCAGUGGCGAACGGGUGAGUAACACGUGAGGAACAUGCCCCUGACUCUGGGAUAAGCGCUGGAAAAGGCGUCUAAUACUGGAUAUGUUAUGUGACAGCAUGGUCUGCGUUUGGAAAGAUCUGUCGGUUGGGGAUGGGCUCGCGGCCUAUCAGCUUGUUGGCGAGGUAAUGGCUCACCAAGGCGUCGACGGGUAGCCGGCCUGAGAGGGUGACCGGCCACACUGGGAUUGCGACACGGCCCAGACUCCUACGGGAGGCAGCAGUGGGGAAUAUUGCACAAUGGGCGAAAGCCUGAUGCAGCAACGCCGCGUGAGGGAUGACGUCCUUCGGGUUGUAAACCUUUUUUAGCAGGGAAGAAGCGAAAGUGACGGUACCUGCAGAAAAAGCGCCGGCUAACUACGUG